GACGAACGCUGGCGGCGUGCUUAACACAUGCAAGUCGAACGGAAAGGCCCUGCUUUUGUGGGGUGCUCGAGUGGCGAACGGGUGAGUAACACGUGAGUAACCUGCCCUUGACUUUGGGAUAACUUCAGGAAACUGGGGCUAAUACCGGAUAGGAGCUCCUGCUGCAUGGUGGGGGUUGGAAAGUUUCGGCGGUUGGGGAUGGACUCGCGGCUUAUCAGCUUGUUGGUGGGGUAGUGGCUUACCAAGGCUUUGACGGGUAGCCGGCCUGAGAGGGUGACCGGCCAAAAUGGGACUGAGGUACGGCCCAGAAUCCUACGGGAGGCAGCAGUGGGGAAUAAUGCAACAUGGGCGGAAGCCUGAUGCAGCAACGGCGGGUGCGGGAUGACGGCCUUUGGGUUGGAAACCGCUUUCGCCUGGGACGAAGGGUGAGUGAAGGGAAUGGGUAAAGAAGCACCGGCUAACUACGUG
rnacentral:rRNA from 1 species